UUUUAAUCGAUGAAAAGAAGCAAGUAGGCUUAAAAACAGAUUUUCAGAGAGCUGUAUGUGGUGGGAUUACGGCAAUUAUGCUUAAGCUGAAUGGGUCUUUGAGAUUUUAGAAUGAAAUUUCAAGUAGUUCUAAACGUUUUAGUCUUACGAUACAAAGACAGGAUAUAUUUAUAUAUCCGUGAGAGGAAAUACUUUUAGUAUUUUGAAUUUAGGUGGCACCGCGUGCGUAUUACGCCCUAUAU
rnacentral:ncRNA from 1 species